rnacentral:rRNA from 1 species
GGGGCUGGACCUCUCGGGGUUACAGCCUUGCUGAAUUAUUCACCCUUGUCUUUUGCGUACUUCUUGUUUCCUUGGUGGGUUCGCCCACCACUAGGACAAACAUAAACCUUUUGUAAUUGCAAUCAGCGUCAGUAACAAAUUAAUAAUUACAACUUUCAACAACGGAUCUCUUGGUUCUGGCAUCGAUGAAGAACGCAGCGAAAUGCGAUAAGUAGUGUGAAUUGCAGAAUUCAGUGAAUCAUCGAAUCUUUGAACGCACAUUGCGCCCUUUGGUAUUCCAAAGGGCAUGCCUGUUCGAGCGUCAUUUGUACCCUCAAGCUUUGCUUGGUGUUGGGCGUCUUGUCUCUAGCUUUGCUGGAGACUCGCCUUAAAGUAAUUGGCAGCCGGCCUACUGGUUUCGGAGCGCAGCACAAGUCGCACUCUCUAUCAGCAAAGGUCUAGCAUCCAUUAAGCCUUUUUUUCAACUUUUGACCUCGGAUCAGGUAGGGAUACCCGCUGAACUUAAGCAUAUCAAUAAGUCGGAGGAA